UGGACUGAAAAUGGCUUGAGAUGUUG
rnacentral:piRNA from 1 species